UGGGGAAUAUUGGACAAUGGGCGAAAGCCUGAUCCAGCCAUGCCGCGUGUGUGAAGAAGGUCUUCGGAUUGUAAAGCACUUUAAGUUGGGAGGAAGGGCAGUAAGCGAAUACCUUGCUGUUUUGACGUUACCGACAGAAUAAGCACCGGCUAACUCUGUGCCAGCAGCCGCGGUAAUACAGAGGGUGCAAGCGUUAAUCGGAAUUACUGGGCGUAAAGCGCGCGUAGGUGGUUCGUUAAGUUGAAUGUGAAAGCCCCGGGCUCAACCUGGGGACUGCAUCCAAAACUGGCGAGCUAGAGUAGGGCAGAGGGUGGUGGAGUUUCCUGUGUAGCGGUGAAAUGCGUAGAUAUAGGAAGGAACACCAGUGGCGAAGGCGACCACCUGAGCUCAUACUGACACUGAGGUGCGAAAGCGUGGGGAGCAAACAGG
rnacentral:rRNA from 1 species